AAACAUGUCUUUUUGAUUUAAAUAUGAAGUCUGACCUGCCCACUGAUUAAAUAAUUGAAGGGCCGCGGUAAAUUAACUGUGCUAAGGUAGCAUAAUCAUUUUCCAAUUAAUUGUUGGAUGGAAUGAAUGGUUUGACGAGAAAUUAACUGUCUUAGGAUUAUUUUUAUGAAUUUUACUUUUUAGUGAAGAGGCUAGAAUAUUAUUAAGGGACGAGAAGACCCUGUAGAUUUUAAAUAUAGUUUUUUUUUGUGUGACUUAUUGAAUAUUUUAAUUGGGGCGAUUUAAAAAGAAGAUUAUCUUUUAAUUAUUAUUUUUCAGAUGUUUUUGUUUUAUUGAUCCAGAAUUUUUGAUUAUAAGAUUAAAAUACCUCAGGGAUAACAGCGUAAUUUUUUUGAGAAGUUCUUAUUUGAAUAAGAGUUUGCGACCUCGAUGUUGAAUUAAAGAUUUACAAUAGGUGUAGCAGCUUAUUUAAUUAGUCUGUUCGACUAAUAGUUCUUUACGUGAUCUC
rnacentral:rRNA from 1 species